GCCCCUAUAGCUCAAUGGCAGAGCAGUUGCCUUUUAAGCAAUUGACCUAGGUCCGAUUCCUAGUGGGGGCACCA
rnacentral:tRNA from 1 species